UACGUAGGGUGCAAGCGUUUAAUCGGAAUUACUGGGCGUAAAGCGUGCGCAGGCGGUUUUGUAAGUCUGGUCGUGAAAGCCCCCGGGCUCAACCUGGGAAUUGCGAUGGAGACUGCAAGGCUUGAAUCUGGCAGAGGGGGGGUAGAAUUCCACGUGUAGCAGUGAAAUGCGUAGAGAUGUGGAGGAACACCGAUGGACGAAGGCAGCCCCCUGGGUCAAGAUUGACGCUCAUGCACGAAAGCGUGGGGAGCAAACAGG
rnacentral:rRNA from 1 species